rnacentral:rRNA from 1 species
GGAAGUAAGAUCCCUGAAAGAUGAUCAGGUUGAUAGGUCUGAGGUGGAAGUGUGGCGACACAUGGAGCUGACAGAUACUAAUCGAUCGAGGACUUAACCA